UCGAUAGUCCACGUUGAACCUUACUUAUAUUAUUUCUUGUAUACCGCUGUUUGAGAAUAUACUUUUAGGUUAUUUUCUUAAUAUAUUAUUAAUUAAAAUUUCAGGUCAAGGUGCAGUAAUAUAUAAGUUGAAUAAUGGAUUACAAUAAAUUUUAUUUAUAUGGAUUGUUAUUGAAAUAUAAUUUGAAGGUGGAUUUAAUUGUAAUUUUUUAAAGAUUAUUAAAAUGAUUAAUACUCUAUAAUAUGUACACAUCGCCCGUCGCUCUCG
rnacentral:rRNA from 1 species